UACGUAGGGUGCAAGCGUUAAUCGGAAUUACUGGGCGUAAAGCGUGCGCAGGCGGUGAUGUAAGACAGUUGUGAAAUCCCCGGGCUCAACCUGGGAACUGCAUCUGUGACUGCAUCGCUGGAGUACGGGUAGAGGGGGAUGGAAUUCCGCGUGUAGCAGUGAAAUGCGUAGAUAUGCGGAGGAACACCGAUGGCGAAGGCAAUCCCCUGGACCUGUACUGACGCUCAUGCACGAAAGCUAGGGGAGCAAACAGG
rnacentral:rRNA from 1 species